rnacentral:lncRNA from 1 species
GGAGAAAUUCCUGAGGCUGAAUCAUGCUGGUGUCCACAUUAACACAUGCCCCUGGAGCUCAUUCUGUGCAGCUGGCACUGCUCUACACAUGCAGGUCAGGAGCUUUAGUGGCUGCUCCCAUAACAUCCACCCUAGCCUCGGAAGUGACUGGAGCAGCUAUGGGCACUGGACUUCUAGUGUCCCGGUCCCAUGGUCCACACUGAUAGCCUCACAGCAGGUUAAACCUUGCACCUCAGACACGGGCCCCCAAGUCCCCUCCUAAUUUGGCAUAGCCCCCCAAACUAAGUCGGUCCAGCCGUGGCCAGCUUCGGUGGGCACAGUCCCGAGCUGCUGGGGCCCCCAGGAGAAGCUCCCCCAGGCCCAGGUCCAGAGACUUGGAGUGCUCGAUGCAGGAACCAGAGGGCUGCACCGUGAUGAUCACAUGUCCAGUCUGAGUCCGAGGACCCCAGGGUGGUGGCAGCCCGGGACCCUUCAACGGGUAGCUGUGGAGCAGCGCGGGCAGCCCCGAGCGAGGGUUGGCAGGUUCGGACCGCAGGCUGCGCACCGACGGGACCGGCGACGGGCCCCUCCUCGGGGCCAGGUCCCAAGUCUCGGGUUCCGCGACGGCGCCCGGAGACCCGUGCGCGGGACUGGGCAGCAGUGCGUCCCAGCCGGGGCCGUCGGGCGGCCGC